GACGAACGCUGGCGGCGUGCUUAACACAUGCAAGUCGAACGAAGUGGCGAACGGGUGAGUAACGCGUAAUCAACCUGCCCUUCAGAGGGGGACAACAGUUGGAAACGACUGCUAAUACCGCAUACUGAAGGAGGGGCUUGCGUCGGAUUGUCUGGUUGGAGGGGUAACGGCCCACCAAGGCGAUGAUCAGUAGCCGGUCUGAGAGGGUGCACGGCCAAAGUGGGGCUGAGACACGGCCCAGACUCCUACGGGGGGCAGCAGUGGGGAAAUUUCCGCAAUGGACGAAAGUCUGACGGAGCCACGCCGGGGGAGUGAUGACGGCCUUCGGGUUGUAAAGCUCUGUUAAUCGGGACGCGGUACCGGAAUAGAAAGCCACGGCUAACUACGUGCCAGCAGCCGCGGUAAUAC
rnacentral:rRNA from 1 species